rnacentral:rRNA from 2 species
CCGAACCGACUAAUGUUGAAAAAUUAGCGGAUGACCUGUGGCUGGGGGUGAAAGGCCAAUCAAACCGGGAGAUAGCUGGUUCUCCCCGAAAGCUAUUUAGGUAGCGCCUCGUGAAUUCAUCUCCGGGGGUAGAGCACUGUUUCGGCUAGGGGGCCAUCCCGGCUUACCAACCCGAUGCAAACUGCGAAUACCGGAGAAUGUUAUCACGGGAGACACACGGCGGGUGCUAACGUCCGUCGUGAAGAGGGAAACAACCCAGACCGCCAGCUAAGGUCCCAAAGUCAUGGUUAAGUGGGAAACGAUGUGGGAAGGCCCAGACAGCCAGGAUGUUGGCUUAGAAGCAGCCAUCAUUUAAAGAAAGCGUAAUAGCUCACUGGUCGAGUCGGCCUGCGCGGAAGAUGUAACGGGGCUAAACCAUGCACCGAAGCUGCGGCAGCGACACUGUGUGUUGUUGGGUAGGGGAGCGUUCUGUAAGCCUGUGAAGGUGUGUC